GUUUUCCCAGCUGAAAGGACAAGUACCUGCCAAAUGAAGUUCAGUGACUGUAAAUGCAAAUUAAAGACCAUUGCCAAGAAACAUUUUGAUCCUUCAGCUAUAAACUGGACCCAUCCUGUGGGUGCUGGGAGCACUCACAUGCUGAUUAUGUGCUGAUUUUCUUACUACUUCACCCUCCAGACUGAUACAGCAGCUGUAGCAAGCGACGUGUGGUGUUUUCAUUUCGCCUCAUUAAAGGCAUUUAAAUGUGCCUUGCUCAAGUCACACCUGC
rnacentral:lncRNA from 12 species